rnacentral:rRNA from 1 species
GUGGAGCAUGUGGCUUAAUUUGACUCAACGCGGGAAAUCUUACCGGGUCCGGACACACUGAGGAUUGACAGGUAUUAUAUAGCAACCUUCGGGUUGUCUAUUGUUAAAUAUGCUAGUCCUUUCAUGAUUAUGUGAUAGGUGGUGCAUGGCCGUUCUUAGUUCGUGGAGUGAUCUGUCUGCUUAAUUGCGUUUCAGAUAAGGAUCUAUAUUCUUUACAAGUGUCGCAGUGUAAUUGACCCCUCUUUCACGAGAGUGUGUGUCUUUUUUGCGCUCGCACUUUACAUUAGGUCCUGAAAGCAACGAACGUGACCGCAACCUCUUGUUGCCUCAUCUCCCAACAUUCUUUCCUUCGGGUUAGAUAUUUCCAUUGAGGCUUUCCAAAACUAGAGGGACCGCUGUCAACUUCUUAAACCAGAGGAAGGUUGCGGCAAUAACAGGUCUGUGAUGCCCUUAGAUGUUCCGGGCUGCACACGUGCUACAAUGAUUGUUGCAGUGAGCAUCUCAAUUUUUUACCUAACACCGCACACGUGAGUUUGCAUACUUGUAUGUUACUUUACGC